rnacentral:lncRNA from 1 species
UAUGGAUGAGAGGAAGAGUCUAGGCCAUCUGCUGCUAGUGAGUCUUCCAGCACAGGUAAAUGGGUGGAUGGUCAUGCCAUGCAUCUCCCACAGUGGUGAAUAUGGGGAAGAAGGAGGUUUGGAAGAGGAUGAACACUUCAGGGCAUUUCUGUUUUAAGGUGCUGACUUUAUUGUGACUAAUUUUUUUGAAAGAUGGUCCUGCUUGCUGGUUGCCUGUUUUUCUACUGAGGAGAAAUGUCUGUUUGAGGUAUGUCCCCUGACUUUCUAGUUAAAAGUUCUGUGUUCUCUGAGGUGCUAAGUAGUUCUAGGAACCAUGGUGAUUGAGGAGAAUUUGAGUCUGUUCUGUUGGGAAGAGUUACUUCUAGGUAGUAGUCUGAGCU